UUCCCUACGGGCGGCUGCAGUGAGGAAUAUUGCACAAUGGGCGAAAGCCUGAUGCAGCAACGCCGCGUGAGGGACGAAGGCCUUCGGGUUGUAAACCUCUUUUCUGGGGGAAGAGAUAGGACGGUACCUCAGGAAUAAGUCUCGGCUAACUACGUGCCAGCAGCCGCGGUAAAACGUAGGAGGCGAGCGUUAUCCGGAUUUACUGGGCGUAAAGCGCACGCAGGCGGUUCCGUUAGUCGGACGUGAAAGCUCCUGGCUUAACUGGGAGAGGCCGUUCGAUACUGCGGGACUUGAGGUUGGGAGAGGGGUGUGGAAUUCCCGGUGUAGUGGUGGAAUGCGUAGAUAUCGGGAGGAACACCUGUGGCGAAAGCGGCACCCUGGCCCACACCUGACGCUGAGGUGCGAAAGCGUGGGUAGCAAACAGGAUUAGAUACCCGAGUAGUCC
rnacentral:rRNA from 1 species